rnacentral:rRNA from 1 species
UACGGAGGGUGCAAGCGUUAUCCGGAUUUACUGGGUUUAAAAGGGAGCGUAGGUGGGUCGGUAAGUCAGUGGUGAAAUCUUCGAGCUUAACUCGGAAACUGCCAUUGAUACUAUCGAUCUUGAAUUAUCUGGAGGUAAGCGGAAUAUGUCAUGUAGCGGUGAAAUGCUUAGAUAUGACAUAGAACACCCAUUGCGAAGGCAGCUUACUACGGAUAUAUUGACACUGAGGCUCGAAAGCGUGGGGAUCAAACAGG